CCAUAUUAGAUUCUUGAUGAAUGUGUGUUGUUGUUAUUCAGCCUGGUUCGAUGUGCCCCUUUUUAACUUUGAGCACCCGCCCCUUUAAACGUCUCGGCACGGCCCUGCUGCAUGUGUUUGCGUUGUCGAGCAGUUGAGCAGUUGAACAGUAGUACCUAAUGACAGUGAGUAUCUAUUGCAAGCUCUUGACUUUCAACUCUUGUCCCUAGUGGGGUGUCACACAGGCAAUACAGGCAAUAUGGUUCAAUAAACAGCACUAUGUAAAAGCUUUGAGUCAUUUUCAUUUCAUUAUAUCUCUGUGGAUACACAAAGGUAACACAGCAUUUCCAAGGGUCAAAACUGGAGUGAGAAUUCUCAUCAAGAAAUUCAAAGAAAGCCACAGAGUGCAGAACAAGCCUGGCAGAGGGUUUGUUCAACUUCUUCUGGAGCACAAUAUAUGGGAAGUUGUACCACAACCCCCCCAAAGAUAACAGUAGACGUUGCACUUCAAAUAGAACAAAAUUCUGGAGUUUCCACAUGGCAAUUAUAACUGAAUAUGAUAUUUCAGACAGUAUACAAAUCAAUCAUCAGCACAUUAAAAGAACUGCAGACACUUGGUUACAGAAACGGCAGGAAAAGAAGAGGUAGGACUUUCCUGUAUUUAUCUACAUCUCCACUACCCUUUACGGUAUAACACUGCUGAU